GGGUAUAGCUCAGUGGAAGAUCAUUCGACUCUCUAUCGAGAAGUCCCCGGUUCAAACCAAGGUGGCCCCU